rnacentral:rRNA from 1 species
GUGGGGAAUAUUGGACAAUGGGGGGAACCCUGAUCCAGCCAUGCCGCGUGUGUGAAGAAGGCCUUUUGGUUGUAAAGCACUUUAAGCGAGGAGGAGGCUACCGAGAUUAAUACUCUUGGAUAGUGGACGUUACUCGCAGAAUAAGCACCGGCUAACUCUGUGCCAGCAGCCGCGGUAAUACAGAGGGUGCAAGCGUUAAUCGGAUUUACUGGGCGUAAAGCGCGCGUAGGUGGCCAAUUAAGUCAAAUGUGAAAUCCCCGAGCUUAACUUGGGAAUUGCAUUCGAUACUGGUUAGCUAGAGUAUGGGAGAGGAUGGUAGAAUUCCAGGUGUAGCGGUGAAAUGCGUAGAGAUCUGGAGGAAUACCGAUGGCGAAGGCAGCCAUCUGGCCUAAUACUGACACUGAGGUGCGAAAGCAUGGGGAGCAAACAGGAUUAGAAACCCUUGUAGUCC